AUGAACUUGUUGCUCAAGACGGUUAAGGGGAGAAGGUCCAAGAGACGGAGAUGCCCGGCGGCCAACCUCACCGAUGACCUUGUUGUUGACAUCCUCUCUCGCCUCCCUGCCAGAUCAGUCUGCCGCUUCAAGUGCGUGUCCACGACAUGGCGGGACCUCAUCUCGCACCCUGUCCACCGUUUGAAGCUUCCUCAAACCUUGGCUGGCUUCUUCACAAGGCAUGACAGUGAGACUGGGCUGUGGUUAGUUCCCCAUUUCACCAAUGUCUCUGGCAGAGGUCUUCCGUUGGUCUCCCCUUCGCUUGACUUCCUGCCAAUCCACAAACACAUUUAUCUCUUGGACAGCUGCAAUGGCCUUCUCCUCUGCAAAUGUUGGCCUACCACGGAAUUGGAUAUGCCAGAUUACCAUCAGUUUGUGUGUAAUCCUGCCACCAAGGAGUGGGUCGCAUUAUCGGAUUGUGCCGACGGAUGGCGGGGUUCACGUCUGGGUUUUAAUUCAACUGUGCCACCCCACUUCUACGUGUUUGAGUUCUUUAGAGACUAUGGGCACUUACCCCCCUUGUUCGCUGGAGUGGAGGUGUAUUCAUCUGAAACUGCAGGGCGGGUUCGUAUGGAAUAUGAACUGGAUAAUGAUUUUACUCUUUUUGAUUCUAGGUUGCCAACUGUCUUUUUUAAUGGCUGUCUGCAUUAUCUCACAAACAAGGCUUUUGUAGCCGUGGUGGACACCGAGGGGAAAGCUUGCUGA
rnacentral:rRNA from 1 species